UACGGGGGGAGCAAGCGUUGUUCGGAUUUACUGGGCGUAAAGGGCGCGUAGGCGGUCAGCACAAGUCAGUUGUGAAAUCUCCGGGCUUAACUCGGAAAGGUCAACUGAUACUGUGCGACUAGAGUGCAGAAGGGGCAACUGGAAUUCUCGGUGUAGCGGUGAAAUGCGUAGAUAUCGAGAGGAACACCUGCGGCGAAAGCGGCUUCCUGGUCCAGCACCGACGUUCAGGCACGAAAGCGUGGGGAGCAAACAGG
rnacentral:rRNA from 1 species